rnacentral:rRNA from 1 species
GAAAAUGACUCUCAGCAACGGAUAUCUUGGCUCUUGCAACGAUGAAGAACGCAACGAAAUGCGAUACCUAGUGUGAAUUGCAGAAUUCCGCGAAUCAUCGAGUCUUUGAACGCAAGUUGCGCCCGAGGCUUGUCCCGAGGGCAUGCCUGCCUGAGCGUC